GUAGAGUAGUGGUCUGAGGUAACACACUUAAUGUAUUGUAGAUAUGUGGUAGUAGAGGUCUGAGGUAACACACUUAAUGUAUUGUAGAUAUGUGGUAGUAGAGUAGUGGUCUGAGGUAACACACUUAAUGUAUUGUAGAUAUGUGGUAGUAGAGUAGAGGUCUGAGGUAACACACUUAAUGUAUUGUAGAUAUGUGGUAGUAGAUUAGUGGUCUGAGGUAACACACUUAAUGUAUUGUAGAUAUGUGGUAGUAGUGGUCUGAGGUAACACACUUAAUGUAUUGUAGAUAUGUGGUAGUAGAGGUCUGAGGUAACACACUUAAUGUAUUGUAGAUAUGUGGUAGUAGAGUAGUGGUCUGAGAUAACACACUUAAUGUAUUGUAGAUAUGUGGUAGUAGUGGUCUGAGGGAACACACUUAAUGUAUUGUAGAUAUGUGGUAGUAGUGGUCUGAGGUAACACACUUAAUGUAUUGUAGAUAUGUGGUAGUAGAGGUCUGAGGUAACACACUUAAUGUAUUGUAGAUAUGUGGUAGUAGAGGUCUGAGGUAACACACUUAAUGUAUUGUAGAUAUGUGGUAGUAGAGUAGUGGUCUGAGGUAACACACUUAAUGUAUUGUAGAUAUGUGGUAGUAGAGGUCUGAGGUAACACACUUAAUGUAUUGUAGAUAUGUGGUAGUAGUGGUCUGAGGUAACACACUUAAUGUAUUGUAGAUAUGUGGUAGUAGAGGUCUGAGGUAACACACUUAAUGUAUUGUAGAUAUGUGGUAGUAGAGGUCUGAGGUAACACACUUAAUGUAUUGUAGAUAUGUGGUAGUAGAGUAGUGGUCUGAGGUAACACACUUAAUGUAUUGUAGAUAUGUGGUAGUAGAGGUCUGAGGUAACACACUUAAUGUAUUGUAGAUAUGUGGUAGUAGUGGUCUGAGGUAACACACUUAAUGUAUUGUAGAUAUGUGGUAGUAGUGGUCUGAGGUAACACACUUAAUGUAUUGUAGAUAUGUGGUAGUAGAGGUCUGAGGUAACACACUUAAUGUAUUGUAGAUAUGUGGUAGUAGUGGUCUGAGGUAACACACUUAAUGUAUUGUAGAUAUGUGGUAGUAGAGGUCUGAGGUAACACACUUAAUGUAUUGUAGAUAUGUGGUAGUAGAGGUCUGAGGUAACACACUUAAUGUAUUGUAGAUAUGUGGUAGUAGAGGUCUGAGGUAACACACUUAAUGUAUUGUAGAUAUGUGGUAGUAGAGUAGUGGUCUGAGGUAACACACUUAAUGUAUUGUAGAUAUGUGGUAGUAGAGUAGUGGUCUGAGGUAACACACUUAAUGUAUUGUAGAUAUGUGGUAGUAGAGGUCUGAGGUAAAACACUUAAUGUAUUGUAGAUAUGUGGUAGUAGUGGUCUGAGGUAACACACUUAAUGUAUUGUAGAUAUGUGGUAGUAGAGUAGUGGUCUGAGGUAACACACUUAAUGUAUUGUAGAUAUGUGGUAGUAGUGGUCUGAGGUAACACACUUAAUGUAUUGUAGAUAUGUGGUAGUAGAGGUCUGAGGUAACACACUUAAUGUAUUGUAGAUAUGUGUUAGUAGUGGUCUGAGGUAACACACUUAAUGUAUUGUAGAUAUGUGGUAGUAGAGGUCUGAGGUAACACACUUAAUGUAUUGUAGAUAUGUGGUAGUAGUGGUCUGAGGUAACACACUUAAUGUAUUGUAGAUAUGUGGUAGUAGUGGUCUGAGGUAACACACUUAAUGUAUUGUAGAUAUGUGGUAGUAGAGUAGAGGUCUGAGGUAACACACUUAAUGUAUUGUAGAUAUGUGGUAGUAGAGGUCUGAGGUAAAACACUUAAUGUAUUGUAGAUAUGUGGUAGUAGUGGUCUGAGGUAACACACUUAAUGUAUUGUAGAUAUGUGGUAGUAGAGUAGUGGUCUGAGGUAACACACUUAAUGUAUUGUAGAUAUGUGGUAGUAGUGGUCUGAGGUAACACACUUAAUGUAUUGUAGAUAUGUGGUAGUAGAGGUCUGAGGUAACACACUUAAUGUAUUGUAGAUAUGUGGUAGUAGUGGUCUGAGGUAACACACUUAAUGUAUUGUAGAUAUGUGUUAGUAGAGUAGUGGUCUGAGGUAACACUUAAUGUAUUGUAGAUAUGUGGUAGUAGUGGUCUGAGGUAACACACUUAAUGUAUUGUAGAUAUGUGGUAGUAGAGGUCUGAGGUAACACACUUAAUGUAUUGUAGAUAUGUGGUAGUAGUGGUCUGAGGUAACACACUUAAUGUAUUGUAGAUAUGUGGUAGUAGUGGUCUGAGGUAACACACUUAAUGUAUUGUAGAUAUGUGGUAGUAGUGGUCUGAGGUAACACACUUAAUGUAUUGUAGAUAUGUGGUAGUAGAGGUCUGAGGUAACACACUUAAUGUAUUGUAGAUAUGUGGUAGUAGAGUAGUGGUCUGAGAUAACACACUUAAUGUAUUGUAGAUAUGUGGUAGUAGAGGUCUGAGGUAACACACUUAAUGUAUUGUAGAUAUGUGGUAGUAGUGGUCUGAGGUAACACACUUAAUGUAUUGUAGAUAUGUGGUAGUAGUGGUCUGAGGGAACACACUUAAUGUAUUGUAGAUAUGUGGUAGUAGAGUAGUGGUCUGAGGUAACACACUUAAUGUAUUGUAGAUAUGUGGUAGUAGUGGUCUGAGGUAACACACUUAAUGUAUUGUAGAUAUGUGGUAGUAGUGGUCUGAGGGAACACACUUAAUGUAUUGUAGAUAUGUGGUAGUAGAGUAGUGGUCUGAGGUAACACACUUAAUGUAUUGUAGAUAUGUGGUAGUAGUGGUCUGAGGUAACACACUUAAUGUAUUGUAGAUAUGUGGUAGUAGUGGUCUGAGGUAACACACUUAAUGUAUUGUAGAUAUGUGGUAGUAGAGGUCUGAGGUAACACACUUAAUGUAUUGUAGAUAUGUGGUAGUAGUGGUCUGAGGUAACACACUUAAUGUAUUGUAGAUAUGUGGUAGUAGUGGUCUGAGGUAACACACUUAAUGUAUUGUAGAUAUGUGGUAGUAGAGGUCUGAGGUAACACACUUAAUGUAUUGUAGAUAUGUGGUAGUAGUGGUCUGAGGUAACACACUUAAUGUAUUGUAGAUAUGUGGUAGUAGUGGUCUGAGGGAACACACUUAAUGUAUUGUAGAUAUGUGGUAGUAGUGGUCUGAGGGAACACACUUAAUGUAUUGUAGAUAUGUGGUAGUAGAGGUCUGAGGUAACACACUUAAUGUAUUGUAGAUAUGUGGUAGUAGUGGUCUGAGGUAACACACUUAAUGUAUUGUAGAUAUGUGGUAGUAGAGGUCUGAGGUAACACACUUAAUGUAUUGUAGAUAUGUGGUAGUAGAGGUCUGAGGUAACACACUUAAUGUAUUGUAGAUAUGUGGUAGUAGAGGUCUGAGGUAACACACUUAAUGUAUUGUAGAUAUGUGGUAGUAGUGGUCUGAGGUAACACACUUAAUGUAUUGUAGAUAUGUGGUAGUAGUGGUCUGAGGUAACACACUUAAUGUAUUGUAGAUAUGUGGUAGUAGAGGUCUGAGGUAACACACUUAAUGUAUUGUAGAUAUGUGGUAGUAGAGGUCUGAGGUAACACACUUAAUGUAUUGUAGAUAUGUGGUAGUAGAGUAGAGGUCUGAGGUAACACACUUAAUGUAUUGUAGAUAUGUGGUAGUAGUGGUCUGAGGUAACACACUUAAUGUAUUGUAGAUAUGUGGUAGUAGAGUAGUGGUCUGAGGUAACACACUUAAUGUAUUGUAGAUAUGUGGUAGUAGAGGUCUGAGGUAACACACUUAAUGUAUUGUAGAUAUGUGGUAGUAGAGUAGAGGUCUGAGGUAACACACUUAAUGUAUUGUAGAUAUGUGGUAGUAGUGGUCUGAGGUAACACACUUAAUGUAUUGUAGAUAUGUGGUAGUAGUGGUCUGAGGUAACACACUUAAUGUAUUGUAGAUAUGUGGUAGUAGUGGUCUGAGGUAACACACUUAAUGUAUUGUAGAUAUGUGGUAGUAGAGGUCUGAGGUAACACACUUAAUGUAUUGUAGAUAUGUGGUAGUAGAGGUCUGAGGUAACACACUUAAUGUAUUGUAGAUAUGUGGUAGUAGAGGUCUGAGGUAACACACUUAAUGUAUUGUAGAUAUGUGGUAGUAGAGGUCUGAGGUAACACACUUAAUGUAUUGUAGAUAUGUGGUAGUAGAGGUCUGAGGUAACACACUUAAUGUAUUGUAGAUAUGUGGUAGUAGAGUAGUGGUCUGAGGUAACACACUUAAUGUAUUGUAGAUAUGUGGUAGUAGAGUAGUGGUCUGAGGUAACACACUUAAUGUAUUGUAGAUAUGUGGUAGUAGAGGUCUGAGGGAACACACUUAAUGUAUUGUAGAUAUGUGGUAGUAGAGUAGAGGUCUGAGGGAACACACUUAAUGUAUUGUAGAUAUGUGGUAGUAGAGUAGUGGUCUGAGGUAACACACUUAAUGUAUUGUAGAUAUGUGGUAGUAGAGGUCUGAGGUAACACACUUAAUGUAUUGUAGAUAUGUGGUAGUAGUGGUCUGAGGUAACACACUUAAUGUAUUGUAGAUAUGUGGUAGUAGAGUAGUGGUCUGAGGUAACACACUUAAUGUAUUGUAGAUAUGUGGUAGUAGUGGUCUGAGGUAACACACUUAAUGUAUUGUAGAUAUGUGGUAGUAGAGUAGUGGUCUGAGGUAACACACUUAAUGUAUUGUAGAUAUGUGGUAGUAGAGUAGAGGUCUGAGGUAACACACUUAAUGUAUUGUAGAUAUGUGGUAGUAGAGGUCUGAGGUAACACACUUAAUGUAUUGUAGAUAUGUGGUAGUAGAGGUCUGAGGUAACACACUUAAUGUAUUGUAGAUAUGUGGUAGUAGAGGUCUGAGGUAACACACUUAAUGUAUUGUAGAUAUGUGGUAGUAGAGUAGAGGUCUGAGGUAACACACUUAAUGUAUUGUAGAUAUGUGGUAGUAGAGUAGUGGUCUGAGGUAACACACUUAAUGUAUUGUAGAUAUGUGGUAGUAGAGUAGUGGUCUGAGGUAACAUACUUAAUGUAUUGUAGAUAUGUGGUAGUAGAGUAGAGGUCUGAGGUAACACACUUAAUGUAUUGUAGAUAUGUGGUAGUAGAGGUCUGAGGUAACACACUUAAUGUAUUGUAGAUAUGUGGUAGUAGAGUAGUGGUCUGAGGUAACACACUUAAUGUAUUGUAGAUAUGUGGUAGUAGUGGUCUGAGGUAACACACUUAAUGUAUUGUAGAUAUGUGGUAGUAGUGGUAUGAGGUAACACACUUAAUGUAUUGUAGAUAUGUGGUCUGAGGUAACACACUUAAUGUAUU